rnacentral:rRNA from 1 species
UACGUAGGGCGCAAGCGUUGUCCGGAAUUAUUGGGCGGAAAGAGCUCGUAGGCGGCCUGUUACGUCUGCUGUGAAAUCCCGGGGCUUAACCCCGGGCGUGCAGUGGAUACGGGCAGGCUGGAGGCAGGCAGGGGAGAACGGAAUUCCCGGUGUAGCGGUGAAAUGCGCAGAUAUCGAGAGGAACACCGGUGGCGAAGGCGGUUCUCUGGGCCUGUACUGACGCUGAGGAGCGAAAGCGUGGGGAGCGAACAGG